AGGAAUGAUCAGUUCCGAUUAGGUCGUAUGAUCUGCAUAUAAUCGAUUUUGCGCACCAACGAAAACAAAAAUAUUGACAAGAUGAAGUUUGUUGCUUUCACUAU